UCGAAUCAAAGUGUGUCUAGUCUAAAGUGUUUUUUCAAUUUGUCCUUAAUAAAAAUUGUCCUAAGUUUUAUUUUCUGAAGCUUCUCUUUCUCAUAAAACAGCAAGUUGUGUUUUUCUAUCCCUUCUGGAGAAGCAAGACGUCAAUCAAAUAGAAUUAUCAAAGAAACUGAAACCUAAGACGAGUGAGAAGCUGCGGCCCAAUUCGAUGAGGU
rnacentral:sRNA from 1 species